rnacentral:rRNA from 1 species
UACGUAGGGUGCGAGCGUUGUCCGGAAUUACUGGGCGUAAAGAGCUCGUAGGCGGUUUGUCACGUCGUCUGUGAAAUCCUCCAGCUUAACUGGGGGCGUGCAGGCGAUACGGGCAGACUUGAGUACUACAGGGGAGACUGGAAUUCCUGGUGUAGCGGUGAAAUGCGCAGAUAUCAGGAGGAACACCGGUGGCGAAGGCGGGUCUCUGGGUAGUAACUGACGCUGAGGAGCGAAAGCAUGGGGAGCAAACAGGAUUAGAUACCCCU